CGAAGGGGCUAGCGUUGCUCGGAAUUACUGGGCGUAAAGGGAGCGUAGGCGGACGAUUAAGUUGGGGUGAAAUCCCAGGGCUCAACCCUGGAACUGCCUCCAAAACUGGUCGUCUUGAGUAUGGGAGAGGUAUGUGGAACUCCGAGUGUAGAGGUGAAAUUCGUAGAUAUUCGGAAGAACACCAGUGGCGAAGGCGACAUACUGGCCCAUUACUGACGCUGAGGCUCGAAAGCGUGGGGAGCAAACAGGAUU
rnacentral:rRNA from 1 species